GACGAACGCUGGCGGCGUGCUUAACACAUGCAAGUCGAACGGAAAGGCCCUGCUUUUGUGGGGUGCUCGAGUGGCGAACGGGUGAGUAACACGUUAGUAACCUUCCCUUGACUUUGGGAUAACUUCAGGAAACUGGGGCUAAUACCGGAUAGGAGCUCCUGCUGCAUGGUGGGGGUUGGAAAGUUUCGGCGGUUGGGGAUGGACUCGCGGCUUAUCAGCUUGUUGGUGGGGUAGUGGCUUACCAAGGCUUUGACGGGUAGCCGGCCUGAGAGGGUGACCGGCAAAAUUGGGACUGAGAUACGGACCAGACUCCUACGGGAGGCAGCAGUGGGGAAUAUUGAACAAUGGGCGGAAGCCUGAUGCAGCAACGCCGCGUGCGGGAUGACGGCCUUCGGGUUGUAAACCGCUUUCGCCUGUGACGAAGCGUGAGUGAAGGUAAUGGGUAAAGAAGCACCGGCUAACUACGUG
rnacentral:rRNA from 1 species